UGUUAAAAGUUUCAUCCAUUUGUACGGUUAUAAACUGACGUGACUAACGGAAUAAUUAGAUAAUAAUACAUUGCAUGCUAUGUGCACAUUAUGAUGACGUACAAGGACAAUUUUUAACCGUAGAAAUGGCUGAAAUUUUUAACA
rfam:Gossypium raimondii Chr11_contig_12, whole genome shotgun sequence.